CCUACGGGUGGCAGCAGUGGGGAAUAUUGGUCAAUGGGCGAAAGCCUGACCCAGCAAUGCCGCGUGAAUGAAGAAGGUCUUAGGAUUGUAAAAUUCUGUCCUCUGGGAAGAAAAACAUGACGCUACCAUAGGAUGACGCCCCGACUAACUACGUGCCAGCAGCAGCUGUAAUACGUAGGGGGCGAGCGUUUUUCGGAAUUGCUGGGCGUAAAGAGAGCGUAGGCGUCACUACAAGUCUCAUGUGAAAUACCCGGGCUUAACUUCGGGGUUGCAGUGGAAACUGUAGGGCUGGAGUACAGGAGAGGCAAGCGGAAUUCGUAGUGUAGCGGUGAAAUGCAUAGAUAUUAGGAGGAACACCAGUGGCGAAGGCGGCGUGCUGGACUGAAACUGACGCUGAGGCUCGAAAGCGUGGGGAGCAAACAGGAUUAGAUACCCGAGUAGUC
rnacentral:rRNA from 1 species